rnacentral:rRNA from 1 species
AUUGAACGCUGGCGGCAGGCCUAACACAUGCAAGUCGAACGAGUGGCGGACGGGUGAGUAAUGUCUGGGAAACUGCCUGAUGGAGGGGGAUACCUACUGGAAACGGUAGAUAAUACCGCAUACCAUCAGAUGUGGCAAGAUGGGCUUAGCUUGUUGGUGUGGGACCGGCUCCCCAAGGCGGAGAUCCCUAGCUGGUCGAAUAGGAUGACCAGCCAGACUGGAACUGAGAAUCGGUCCAGAGUCCUACGGGAGGCAGCAUUGGGGAAUAUGGCACAAUGGGCGCAAGCCUGAUGCAGACAGGCCGAGUGUAGGAAGAAGGCCUUCGGGUUGUAAAGUACUUUCAGCGGUGAGGCGUUACCCGCAGAAGAAGCACCGGCUAACUCCGUGCCAGCAGCCGCGGUAAUAC